UAAAACAGAGAGGAUGAAAUACCUCAAACUCCAGGAUGUUUGGCAAUUAAAAUGAAUUUGAAUAAGAAAAUCAAUACUACGGACUCUGGAGCUAGGAGUAUCGAGAUGAGCUAUAAUACAGAAAUACGAUUCACCUAAUAAGAAAAUAUGAAAACUAAAAUGAAUUUGAAUCUAACUAUUUUUUAUUAUAAACGAAAGUGUGAAAAUUAAAAUGAAUUUGAACUUAAUGGUUCAUAACAUAAACGGUGGUCUAUAUACUGCAUGAGUUUAAAUGAAUUAUGAAUGUGUUUCCGAAAUUUUUUAUUUUGGCAUAAGAACGAAAAUUUUUUUGUAAUUAAUUGUUUGAACCAUGGAAAAUCUACAAUGGGGUGUUCUGUACUUAGGUGACAGCCAAAACUUAGACGAAGGACUACUAGAUCCUGCGAGUGAAAAUUUAGUCAAUGGGGGUUAAAAUUUACACGUAUACGCAAGCUUUAGAUGCUCUCUUCCUCUCCUCUUUCUCUGAAGAUUCUUUCAAUACUGAUUAAUCUCUUCCUCUCAUCUCCUUCUCUACCUAUAUCAAACUCUCAGAGUGCUAAAUAGUCGUUCUUCUGUCUCUUGCUUCCUUGAUCUUUUUUUUAGGGUUUUACCAUCUUCACCCGCCCAACAAAUUCAUACACUCAAUUGAAGGAAGUAAAUUUGAGAGAGAUUCAAUUUUUACCCAAUUUGAUUCCCAGAAAAUCAAGUGAAACCAAUUAUAGGAGAGAGAAAGUAAUUUGACAGGAUUGAGGGGGAUGCAUGUAUCUCUUAAGAGAUUCAAUAUCUUUGUUUUGAUAUGUAUUUAAUAAUUCAAGUAAUUGCAGAGAGAUAAAUAAGUUUUUCUAGAUAACGAAAGGAUGAUCUGUGUUUUCUUUUCUUUUCCUUUUUUUUUUUUUUCAUUUCAAAGCAAUUCCCUUUUUCAGUUGAUUAGUAUUAUAGAGCUAGUUUAUAUAUAUAUAUAUAUAUAUUUAGUCAUUUUCUUUGGAA